CACCCACUCUGUGUUCUCCGCGUUCGCCAACGGAACCUUUGAAUGGAAUACUCGCGUCAACAGGGGAAGAGUACCGGAAGGGACUUGUCAGGACGCUUUGGAGAAAAGGAAGAGGAGGAGUGAGGAGCCAUGGCGACUGUGGCUGCUGUUUGCUGCCGUCUAGGAAGGAAAACGUUGACGCCCAUCGUAACGGCUCCUGUCUGCCUCACAGAGGCCGGGAUUCACGCGGUGCUGUGGAGACGUUAUUCACAAUAUAAACAAGUAACCAGCAAUGAGGACCUGCCCAUUACAAUGGAAAAUCCUUAUAAGGAACCUCUUAAGAAGUGUGUAUUAUGUGGAAAACGUGUAGAUUAUAAGAAUGUACAGCUUUUGUCCCAGUUUAUUUCUCCAUUUACUGGAUGCAUUUAUGGAAGACACAUAACAGGUCUUUGUGGGAAGAAACAAAGAGAAAUUACAAAAGCAAUUAAAAGAGCUCAAAUAAUGGGGUUUAUGCCAGUUACAUACAAGGAUCCUGCAUAUCUUAAAGACCCUAAAGUUUGUAACAUCAAGUAUCGGGAGUAAAGGUUAUCAUCAAUAAACUUACUUUACAUUCCUGGUUUAGCCUGUUGAUCUGUUGGUUAGUAAACUGGCUCCACACCUGAAGAGCAAGACCAGAGAGGCAGACUACUCCAGAUUGCGCAUUGCUAGCUGGACUAGGUUCAGGAAUGUCCGUGUAUUCCACCAUUAAGGUCAGGUUGUCUACCUCAUUGAGGUGAUGGCUGGUAUUACACCGACUUUUAGAAAUACGCCUAUUUUUCAAGGAGAUAACACAUGAAUGAAGAAAGUCACAAUCUGGAAAAAAUGUCUGUAAAGCUUGACAAAGAAAAAUGUUCUCCUGAGGGUCUUUUUGGACAACAGUCUUCUCUCCUAAGCAAAAUAAAAAGAAAAGUUCAACAUAAAAUAUUUGUUCUACAAAGCUUUUGUAAUAUCUAUUUGAUAAUAAAAGACUUAAAACAAUUCUUUCAAACUAUCUAAAUUGAGAAAAAUGGUGUGUAUAACCCCUAAUUUUAGUUUAUAUGCACAAUAUUCUAAGAGAAAAUUAAAAGUUGCAUAUUUUUAAUAAUGGAAUAGCAUAGCUCUAACAGUACCAUGUUCUUUGUUCCGGAGGAUUUAAAGGUAUUAAUAAAACACUGCUAAGGUGGACAAAUGCAUCAUUUAGUGCAGCUGGCUCAUCCAUAGGUCACAUCCGUGAGAAUUUUUUUUAAAGCACAGAAGGUAGUAAUGUGUGAACUUUACUUACGUGCUGCUUGAAUCUGUGCUUGUUUUCUUUUUUUAAUUUCUUGUCUCAGUCUGUUUACAUCUGUUAGUAGUUUCUCUACUGCUUGCUCACUGUGUUCUACUUGUUUGCAUAUAUCCUGCAAAAUAAAAUGAGGGCAUAGAUCAAGUUCCAAGUCGUGCACUAAAAUUCUUCACAGCAUAUAAUGUCAAAUAUUUGCCUUUUUAAAAUUUUUAUUUCCCUGUUUUCUUGAGGAACUUAACAAUAAGCAAUUGUAUGGUACUGCAUUAAAUAAUACAUGCUCUGCAGAUGUAUUCACUUCCCAUUUAUAGCUUUAUCAUACCAGUUAUUUCCUUGAUGAUACACAGAAAUAAAUGUUUAACCCACUUUGAAACAAAAUACUACCUACUUUGAAAUGCAUGCGUAUUUACUGCAUUUACCAUUAAGAAACUGACAACAAAUGAAAAAUAAAAGUGACUAUGUUUUACUGAUAUGAAAAAAACCUAUGAAAUUUUAAUUUCUGUUAAAACCUAUUACUGAAAAGCAGACUGGCUUUAUGUGUCACAUUUUAUGUACUAAUACCCUUUGAUUUAGUGAUUUCAUUUUGGAAAUAUAUC